UACAGAGGUCUCAAGCGUUGUUCGGAUUCAUUGGGCGUAAAGGGUGCGUAGGCGGCGCGGUAAGUCGGGGUGUGAAAUCUCGGAGCUUAACUCCGAAACUGCAUUCGAUACUGCCGUGCUUGAGGACUGGAGAGGAGACUGGAAUUUACGGUGUAGCGGUGAAAUGCGUAGAUAUCGUAAGGAAGACCAGUGGCGAAGGCGGGUCUCUGGACGAAGUUCCUGACGCUGAGGCACGAAGGUCAGGGGAGCAAACGGG
rnacentral:rRNA from 1 species